AUAUGGGUAUAUAAAUGCAUCUCAUAUUACUGCAUCAGUGGGAAAUGAACAAAGAUUUUAUAUAGCUACACAGACCCCAUUACCUAGUACAGUGAAUCAUUUUUGGCAAAUGGUAUGGGAGGCUGGAGUACAUCUUGUCCUCGAUUUGUCGCUACCCAAAAUUAAUACUAUAGACGAAAAUUAUGGAAAAUACUUCCCAACAGUUGCUGAUCAUUCUGUACAAUUUGGGGAGUAUCAUGUGUGGCUACAAUUUACGCAGGAG